GUGGUCUUCUUCUAUUCAAGUUAAAGUGAAUAUAAAACAAUUAUUUACCAAAAAAUCUUGUGUAUAACCUAAAAUUGUCUUGCAUAGCUCAUAUGCAUACAUUGAGAAAUGGUAGCCAAGAAGAAGGAGGAGGUAGUUGAAGUCCAACACAUUUGGAGGGUAAACACCAGCUUCUCUGCUCUUUGCCUAGAUAAACUUGGCAGAUUGUGGACCUCUUUGGAACUUUUGUAUAAAAAGAUAGAAGGUUAAAUGGACACUCCAGACAUUUAUAAACACCAGCUAUUAAGUAACUCAUGGUUGUUUGUUGAGAACCCUGGGUCUCCUAGCUUGGCUUGCAGAAUGAGUCACAGCUUUCUCCCAUGGUAACUGUGCAGACCUCCAGGGGUCUCCAUACCUCUAUUGAGAUCCAAGGCCUGUGCCCAUCUUUGGGAAUGCUGGUUGAGGUAUAUACAUAGGCGGGAAGGCAAUGCUGAGUUCCCUGUUCCCUAGGUCUAUAGUGUAUGCUGUUAAUCCCCACAGGAACCAUAAGUGAAAAACAAAGCAGGAAGAGCCACUGUAGUCACAGUUGAGGAUAAUAGCACUCAAAGAGAAAUGCGUUUUUCCAUGCAGUAUUAGAUGAUAGCUCAUAUGCUCUAUGCAAAUGCCAAGGGAAAACUGAAGGAGCAGGUUUGAUUCAGACAUGAAGCAGCAUCAAUAUCUAUAGCACUGGUCACCAUAGAAUGGAUGAGUCCAGGGGCCACUGGGUCUGAUUUGCCCAAUUUCUGCCAGUAUCUGCCUGGUUUAUACCUGUCAUCCCAGAGUAAGUGUCACAGUGCCCCCUUUACUCUCAGGUAUCCCAGAUUAGAAGAAAACUAGAUGGUUUCUCUAUUAAUGAGCAUAAUAAAGAACAGAGAAUGUAGGUGGUAUGUCCAAGGUCACAGAAUCACGGGGGCCCAAGAAGGAAGUAGAAGUUGAGGCAAUGUAGCUUACAGCCAAAGGCAUGGCUCCCUCCACAGGUGCCUCUGAGGAAUGGACUGUGACCUCAGUCCCAAUUCACCUCAUGGCCCAGCAUGGCACCUGCCUCCCUAAUACAGGUGGAGACUCCCUUAUUAAGAGUUUAUUUCUCCUGAUGGACAAGUAAUACACCCAGCUCAUGUGUUGGAUGUCUGUUAUGUGUCAAUCAGAAAGCUGGGUGUCCUGCAAAUUAACAUUUGUGAUCCUCAAAACCAAUCCUGUGAAAUAUAAUACCUGUUUCAGAGGGAGCCCUCAAAGGGAGUUGGCAGAGACCCAACAAAACAUUUCCAUCCAAGACAAGCACAGAGGUCUCAGCCAUUGGAAGAAUCCAUGGUUCUGUGUUCAUGGGCAUUCAGACUGCAGGAACUUGUGAGGCCGACAGUCAAGGCUUUCCUCAAAACCAUGUUUUUUUUAUAACCAGUAAUUUGUUCGGCGUGUAUAAUUCCAAAGAAUGCUACCAUUAGCAGUAUUACCCAUGCAAUCAAAUGUCUUUGUAAAUCCAUCAGACUCAGAAAACCUUUGGAUGAAGCUCCACAAGAGAUUGACUACCAUAGUCCUUAUGGGGGGGCAUUUUAAAAAUUCCUUUCUGAGCCAGCAAGGUGGCACAAGCCUGUAAUCCCAGCAGCUUGGGAGCUGAGGCAGGAGAAUCUAUAGUUCAAAGCCAUCCUCAACAAAAGCGAGGCACUAGGCAACUCAAUGAGACCCUGUCUCUAAAUAAAAUACAAAAUAGGGCUGGGGAUGUGGCUCAGUGGUUGAGUACCCCUGAGUCACAGUAAUAUCUACAAUAUCUACAAUGGGGUCUGAUUUGCCCAAUUCCUGAGUUUAAUCCCCAGUACCACUCCCCUCAACCCUCCCACAAAAAAAUCCCUUCUGAUCAAAGAUCAGAACUGGAUUGUAAUGUAGAUCUAGCCCUGUCUACACUGGUCACUAAGACAACAAACGUUCUUUCUGCAAAUAAAUCCACUUGAGGGUGCUGGGGGUUCUGAGGCCCAUCCCUAUGCCUGGCUCUUUGCUGUUUUUCAUUAGGACAUUCUGAACCCAUCUGGCCACAGGCCCAUUCCUAGAACAUACUUGAUUGGUGCAAUUUGGAAAGCUGGAAACAAAUAUUUUAAGUACAUAAUGUGUAGGGCAAAGCACCUUCCACUUUUGAGACCAACCUGAAGAUUGAUAUGAAUCUAUUUAUUAAAGCUCCUUUAAUGGAACUUUAAGUGUGAUUUAUUAAUAUUCCUAGAAGUCUGAACAUAGUCCUUCGGGGAUUUUUAUUUGCACAGUAAUGAGACAGAUUAUCAGCUCUUGCUGCUGAAACUGAUUCAAUCACUGGGGACAUGACACUGUAGUUAUUUUACAAAUAUUAUAAAAAACAAUGGAAUUG
rnacentral:lncRNA from 1 species